UACGGAGGGGACUAGCGUUGUUCGGAAUUACUGGGCGUAAAGCGCGCGUAGGCGGAUUUGUAAGUCGGGGGUGAAAUCCCGGGGCUCAACCUCGGAACUGCCUUCGAUACUGCAAAUCUCGAGUCCGGAAGAGGUGAGUGGAAUUCCUAGUGUAGAGGUGAAAUUCGUAGAUAUUAGGAAGAACACCAGUGGCGAAGGCGGCUCACUGGUCCGGUACUGACGCUGAGGCGCGAAAGCGUGGGGAGCAAACAGG
rnacentral:rRNA from 1 species